AUGGCGCUAGACCCUCGUGAGCCCCCCGGGGGCAGCCGGCUCGGCGCCGGGUCUCGGUGUCCGUGCUGGGCACACAGACACCCGACUGGAGACUCAGGGCUACAGGAUGAGCUCUCAGGAGCCAGAGGGCACACGUGCCUGCGUACACACCACGUGUACACACAUGCCUUCUCACACACGCACACGUGGGAGGACACACGCCCCUACACGUGCUCCCAUGCAGGUAGGUUCAUACUCACCCGUCCCCUACACGUGCUCACUUGUAGAAACUCACACCCGCACUCACACGUGUGCUGCACAAGCUCCUCCGCAUUCUCACAUGCACAAUUUCCCACACGUGCCCACUCCCACGCACACAUGUGCACACCCACAUGCAUCGUCACACACAUGCUCACUGGCACACACGCAUUUACACACGUGUUUGCACAUGCAUGCAGUGGGCCCAUAGCUGCGGCAAUGACCUCAGGAGCAAAGGACUUGAGUUGCUUUUUUUUCCCCAACACAUGUUCCCACAAUAAAGAAAACAGGAAGGGACUUGGGGCCAGCACAGGAAGGGGAAGUGGCCUGCGCACAGGGAGCCGGCUCCAGCGGGGUGGACCCUGGGCGGCUGGUUGGGUGGGACUCGGGGGCAGACAGACAGACGGACGGCUGCCGAGUGGGGCGGUGGAACGCCCCUCCACAGCGUCUUGGCUGCUGAUGCUCACGGCAGCCCCCCACAGGCGCCACCCCUUCUGUUUCCAGGGGAGAAACCGAGCCAGGGGAUGGCGUGUCCCAGUCACCGAGGAGGGCUGGUGGAGCUGGCAUUCAACUGGGCACAUUAGACCACGCUCCCAUGGGCCCGCGUCCUGCAGCCCACUUGGCAGCGGCCAUAGCGAGGGCCUCUGUCUGGGCCACCUGGUGGCUCGGUGGGGCUCUUCUGCAGCCCCGCUGUUUGUCCAGCACUGGGCACACCCAUGGCACCCCGGACUGGACUCCGGUAGUCUCGGGGCCGCCCUGAGGUGA
rnacentral:lncRNA from 1 species